rnacentral:rRNA from 1 species
UACGUAGGGUGCAAGCGUUAAUCGGAAUUACUGGGCGUAAAGCGUGCGCAGGCGGCUUUGCAAGUCAGAUGUGAAAUCCCCGGGCUUAACCUGGGAACUGCAUUUGUGACUGCAUGGCUAGAGUGCGGCAGAGGGGGAUGGAAUUCCGCGUGUAGCAGUGAAAUGCGUAGAUAUGCGGAGGAACACCGAUGGCGAAGGCAAUCCCCUGGGCAUGCACUGACGCUCAUGCACGAAAGCGUGGGGAGCAAACAGG